rnacentral:rRNA from 1 species
AGAACCUGCCCCCUCCCCCGGGAUAGCCGCCCGACCGGACGGGUAAUACCGGAUACCCCGGGGUGCCGCAUGGCACCCCGGCUAAAGCCCCGACGGGAGGGGAUGGCUCCGCGGCCCAUCAGGUAGACGGCGGGGUGACGGCCCACCGUGCCGACAACGGGUAGCCGGGUUGAGAGACCGACCGGCCAGAUUGGGACUGAGACACGGCCCAGACUCCUACGGGAGGCAGCAGUGGGGAAUCUUGCGCAAUGGGGGGAACCCUGACGCAGCGACGCCGCGUGCGGGACGGAGGCCUUCGGGUCGUAAACCGCUUUCAGCAGGGAAGAGUCAAGACUGUACCUGCAGAAGAAGCCCCGGCUAACUACGUGCCAGCAGCCGCGGUAAUACGUAGGGGGCGAGCGUUAUCCGGAUUCAUUGGGCGUAAAGCGCGCGUAGGCGGCCCGGCAGGCCGGGGGUCGAAGCGGGGGGCUCAACCCCCCGAAGCCCCCGGAACCUCCGCGGCUUGGGUCCGGUAGGGGAGGGUGGAACACCCGGUGUAGCGGUGGAAUGCGCAGAUAUCGGGUGGAACACCGGUGGCGAAGGCGGCCCUCUGGGCCGAGACCGACGCUGAGGCGCGAAAGCUGGGGGAGCGAACAGGAUUACAUACCCCUGGUAGUCCCAGCCG